rnacentral:rRNA from 1 species
CCCUUAGAUGUCCUGGGCCGCACGCGCGCUACACUGAACGGUUCAAUGGGUAAGGUAGUGCGAAAGCAUGACCUAAUCUCGAAAUCCGUUCGUGCUGGGGAUAGAAGCUUGCAAUUAUCCUUCUUGAACGAGGAAUACCUUGUAAGCGUGAGUCAUCAUCUCACGCUGAAUACGUCCCUGCCCUUUGUACACACCGCCCGUCGCUCCUACCGAUUGAGUGUUCCGGUGAGGCUUUGGGAGAAUGGCCUCAACAUGAGUUUAUCGUGUUUUGCCGUUUGAACUUAGUCAAACCUUAUCACUUAGAGGAAGGAGAAGUCGUAACA